CGCACGUGUCGUUCUGCGACCUAUAUGACCCCGCUGCUACGACGGUGGCGGCGUUGGCCGCCUCCUCUGUUCUGGACUUCCAGUCGCCGUCUCUCGCUCCGUCUCGGGAUUGCGAUGCUUGGUCGAUUAGCUGCGAGGGGAUCAACAGCCAAAGCUCUCCUCCGGUGCCCUAAGUCCGUCCCGCCACUCCUCACUUCAUCCGCCGCCGUCCGUUUCUUCGGCACCGGCGGCGGAGAUGCCUCCUCCCCCCCGGAACGGCUCGCCCUCGAGAUGAUCCAGUACGCUCUCGGACUUGCCAGAUCGCAGAAAUCAGGAGAUUCGUACUCCCAUGCGAUGCUGGUGCUGGAGCAAGGAAUGUCCAACCUGAGGGAAGGAGGAGGAGGAGCGGUGGAGGGAACUAGCUCGAGCGACAACGCCAUGGGGAUGAUCUUGCUUGCCAUGUCCACUCUGCUUUACGAGAGAGGGCAGCUUCAAGAUGCCAACGAGAAGCUUGAGAUGGUUCAUCAGUUAGGGCGAGCUUCAAUAGAUCUCAUUGUUGCUGCCUGUGAGGGUCGAGUGGGGUUAAACUUGGAGACUGGUCAGGAUGCCAACUCGUUGCUGCUUGCAGACAAUUGUUCUCAUUUGCUUAGAGCUAGUGAAGAGGGUGGUGUUCCUGUGUCAGAGGUUACCAAAUUUCGUGCUAAAUCAAUUAAAGGACUUGUUGAUCUUAUAAAUGGGGAUUGUAUGUCUGUGGAAUCAACUUACGGUGGCUCCAAGGAAUGUGGUAUGGGAAGAACUGAAAACCAAUUAGGAUCUAGCCUUCUUUCUCAAGGGGAAAUUUCACAUUGCAUCGGGAAUUUCUCAUUAUCAAAAGAACUCUAUGAGAAAGCACUCUUGACUUUAGAGACCAAAAAAACAUCGAGCACGUCUUAUCUAGCAUCUACCAAUAUGGUGCCUGAAGAAGUUACAAUCGGAGCAGCAUGUGCCUUGGGACAACUUCUGUCUCAUUCUGGGAACUUUGCAGAGGCCGAGGAACAACUAACAAAGGCUCUUGUCAAGGCCGAAGAACAUUUUGGUUCAACUCAUCCAAAAGUUGGUGUGAUCUUGACUUGCAUAGCCAUUAUGUAUAAGCGCAAGGCACAGGUGGAAGCGUCAAGCUCUAUACUAAUUCAAGAGGGAUUGUACAGGAAGGCCACAGAUUUGCUCAAAGCUCCUGACUUGAAUGAGAAAGUUGUUGCACUACUCGAUAGGAGGGACAUAAUUGCUCUAGCUAGAGGCAAAAGGAGCACAAAAUGCCUCAGGUGAAUAAUACUCGAGACGCCUUGAACCGAUGGAAGGCGCCUUGAGCUGGGCGAUAGAAGGCGCCUUCGGUCGGAUAACAUAGAAGACUUCGACGAUAAGGCACAGUCUUCUCGGGAUAAAGCUUUACCGAUGGAAGGCGCCUUGAACACUAUAUAAAAGAAAGCUUCGAAUAGUGCAAUGAAAACAACUCUUCUACAAGCUUUUGCGCAUUCGUUCGACACUCCGACUGCUCCGACUUCGUGCUGCUGCUCUGCUACGACACUGCUGCGAUUAACUGUUGAGAAGCUAUCCAACAUAAAGCUCGAUCUGACAAUCUGCAAGCGUUGGGUGGAUAUGCGGAUCUGUUGUGCAUUCAACAGAACAGAAAGGAAGAAGGUGAAAGAAUGAAGCAAUGGGCCGAGUCUCUGUGGAGGAACAAACGCUUGUCUCUUGCUGAAGCUUUGGAAUUUCCUGAACCUACAAAAGCUGCAGUAGUAGACACCCGGACCUGUCGAGUUCUCUGAUGGAAGUAUGCAAACGCAGAGUUCGCCUCAUCUGUGUCAUAUCUUCACUUUACCACGAAAGGUGACUUUAUUUCAGUUCCCCUUGCCAGGAGCACAACUCUCAGGUAUCAGUAGCCCGAUCAUGGAGACAAGUGACCUACGUUUCGUUCCUUGCUUUUGUCGGACAAUGACCUGUUUAAUGGUCAGUUGUCGAUACUUUUCUGCAAGAGGCGAUCAAACUGAGGUACAAUAUUGUCAUGAGUACUUUUGUUUCCUUUUGACAUCUUUGUAUGUUUAUAAUGCAGUUAUUUUGGUAAGGCAACUGGAAUAAGGCACAUUUUUGAGAACCUUACAGUUUUCAGUUGAAGGAAAGA